GAUGAACGCUGGCGGCGUGCCUAAUACAUGCAAGUCGAGCGAACGGACGAGAAGCUUGCUUCUCUGAUGUUAGCGGCGGACGGGUGAGUAACACGUGGAUAACCUACCUAUAAGACUGGGAUAACUUCGGGAAACCGGAGCUAAUACCGGAUGAUAUUUUGAACCGCAUGGUUCAAAAGUGAAAGACGGUCUUGCUGUCACUUAUAGAUGGAUCCGCGCUGCAUUAGCUAGUUGGUAAGGUAACGGCUUACCAAGGCAACGAUGCAUAGCCGACCUGAGAGGGUGAUCGGCCACACUGGAACUGAGACACGGUCCAGACUCCUACGGGAGGCAGCAGUAGGGAAUCUUCCGCAAUGGGCGAAAGCCUGACGGAGCAACGCCGCGUGAGUGAUGAAGGUCUUCGGAUCGUAAAGCUCUGUUAUUAGGGAAGAACAGAUGUGUAAGUAACUGUGCACAUCUUGACGGUACCUAAUCAGAAAGCCACGGCUAACUACGUG
rnacentral:rRNA from 1 species